AAAACAAAGAGCAAAAAACCUAGAAAAAUCCAACAAAUCAAACCCAUCACAAAUCUAGCAAAAUAAAGAACAAAAAAUCUAGAAAAAAACCAGAGAAAUCAAAUUUAGAACAUCAAAUUCAGCAAAUCAAAUCCAAAACAAGAACAAAAAGUAAACUCAGAAUAAGAAGACGCCUCGCUGAGAUGUUCUUCCGAUGGUAGGAGAGCACGAAAUUAGCCUUGUUGACACAAACAAGAACCACAUGGGUCCUAAAUUGGAGUUCAAUUGCUGUUGAACCCUGCUUGACAGCCUCCAUGGCAUAUUCAACCUGGAAGAGCCUACCAAGGGGCUACAUGUGGUGACACCAGUGUUGUACCGGUUUUUAAACUUUUUUUUUUUUUUUGGUU
rnacentral:misc_RNA from 1 species